GGGGCUCCCACUGGCUCCAUGGCGUGUGCAGCCCCAGCCGCCCCUCGCUGCUCUGGCUGGUGUGAUGGCAACAGCCGCUGCCGUCAGAUGGAUGUGGGUCCACUAAGCAGAGGUUCUGAACUUGAUGUUUUAACCCAAGGACUCUAACAGUUUGGAUGGUCAACUGAACCAAGGGCCCAUAGGUGGCCUACACCAAAUCAGUCAAAAGGUCAGAGCAGCCUUGGUAUAUGAUAGAGGAAGGCAUCCAAAAGGUUAGGGAUAUGUUCUUCCCUCUCUUAUCUACUUGCCAUCUCUAAUAUGAAGUGUAUUCAUAAUGGUUAACUUUUUAUCACAGGAUCAAAGAAGCAGCAGGAGCAUCCUACCAGGACGUUGCAUUGUCCUCUGAGUAAGUCUGCACGUUUUCAGCUGUAACAUGUCAGGUGAAAUUGUGACUCUCUUAUUGCCUUUGUUUGGAGAUUAAUAUGGCUUAAGGAGAUAAGUAUGGGUGUCACAAGGGGUGGACUGUGAUGCAUAUGUGAACUUGACUAGGCCACAUCCCCCAGUUAUUCGAACACAAACCUAGGUGCUGCUGUGAAGGUAUGUUGUAGAUGCGAUUAAAGUCCAUGAUCAGACUUCUGGUUUCAACUUUAGAGACCUUAGAAUUCAGCACUCUCAUCCUUACAAGAAAGACCUGGACGAACUAAAACAUCAAUGACUUUUCCUGGACCAAUCAGAACUGAGGUAGUGGGGCAAACCGCCACCCUGCAAUCUGGAGACAUAAACAAAUACAGAGCCACAGUCCAAAUCUGCUUACACAGAGCAUGAGAACCAGGCUCAGAUGUGACUUUGGGAUGAUCAAACAGGGAAACAACUAUGACUAAUAUGCUAAAGGCGCUAAUGGAAAAAGUAGACAACAUGCAGGAAUAGGUGGGUAAUAUUAAGUGGAGAGAUGAAAACUCUAAGAAUCAAAGGAGGCUGGGUGUGGUGGCUCAUGCCUGUAAUCCCAGCACUUUGGGAGGCCGAGGCGAGUGGAUUGUGAGGUCAAGAGAUUGAGACCAUUCUGGCUAACAUGGUGAAACCCCGUCUCUACUAACAAUACAAAAAUUAGCUGGGUGUGGUGGCGCAUGCCUGUAGUCCCAGCUACUUGGGAGGCUGAGGCAGGAGAAUUGCUUGAACCUGGGAGACGGAGGUUGCAGUGAGCCAAGAUCGCACCACUGCACUCCAACCUGGGCAACAGCGUGAAACUCCAUCUCAAAAAAAAAUCAAAGGAAAUGCUACAUAAAUCAAAAACAUGUAACACAGGCUGGGCGUGGUGGCUCACGCCUGUAAUCCCAGCACUUUGGAAGGCCGAGCUGAACAGAUCAUCUGAGGUCAGGAGUUCAAGACCAGCAUGGCCACCAUGGUGAAACCCCAUCUCUGCUAAAAAUACAAAAAAUUAGCCAGGCAUGGUGGUACACGCCUGUAAUCCCAGCUACUCAGGAGGCUGAAGCAGGAGAAUCACUGGAACCCGAGAGGCAGAGGCUGCAGUAAGCCGAGAUCACACCACUGCAUUCCAGCCUGGGCAACAGAGGGAGAGUCCAUUUCAAAAAAAAAAAAAAAAAAAAA
ensembl:lncRNA